rnacentral:rRNA from 1 species
AACGCGUAGGUAAUCUACCCUUAUAUUUGGGAUAACAUUGGGAAACUGAUGCUAAUACCGAAUGGUCUUCUUUGCUGCGGGGCGAAGGAGUAAAGGUGGCCUCUUCAUGAAAGCUACCGUGUAGGGAUGAGCCUGCGUACCAUUAGCUAGUAGGUGGGGUAAUGGCCCACCUAGGCUACGAUGGUUAGCGGGUCUGAGAGGAUGAUCCGCCACACUGGAACUGGAACACGGACCAG